UGGAAUGGAGUGUCCCCGCGGGCUCCUUUGACUCCUUCACGGUGCAGUACAAGGAUGCACAAGGCCAGCCGCAGGUGGUGCCCGUGGACGGUGGGUCGCGCUCCGUGACCGUGCCCGGGCUGUCGCCGUCCCGCCGCUACAAGUUCAACCUGUACGGGGUGUGGGGGCGGAAACGGCUGGGCCCCGUCUCCACUGAUGCCGUCACAGCUGCAGAAGAGGUGGAGGAGCAAGCGCCAUCCCAGCCACGCCUCGGAGAGCUGACAGCAUCCCAUGUCAGCCCCAACUCG